UGGGGAAUUUUGGACAAUGGGCGAAAGCCUGAUCCAGCAAUGCCGCGUGUGUGAAGAAGGCCUUCGGGUUGUAAAGCACUUUUGUCCGGAAAGAAAUCCUUGGCUCUAAUACAGUCGGGGGAUGACGGUACCGGAAGAAUAAGCACCGGCUAACUACGUGCCAGCAGCCGCGGUAAUACGUAGGGUGCAAGCGUUAAUCGGAAUUACUGGGCGUAAAGCGUGCGCAGGCGGUUUGCUAAGACCGAUGUGAAAUCCCCGGGCUCAACCUGGGAACUGCAUUGGUGACUGGCAGGCUAGAGUAUGGCAGAGGGGGUAGAAUUCCACGUGUAGCAGUGAAAUGCGUAGAGAUGUGGAGGAAUACCGAUGGCGAAGGCAGCUCCCUGGGCCAAUACUGACGCUCAUGCACGAAAGCGUGGGGAGCAAACAGGAUUAGAUACCCUGGUAGUCCACGCCCUAAACGAUGUCAACUAGUUGUUGGGGAUUCAUUUCCUUAGUAACGUAGCUAACGCGUGAAGUUGACCGCCUGGGGAGUACGGUCGCAAGAUUAAAACUCAAAGGAAUUGACGGGGU
rnacentral:rRNA from 1 species